CCGGAGAAGGCCCGAAUUCCGAAAAGGGAGAUUCACGUCCCUCUCGCUCGAUCGCCUCUUCCGGGGCGGGACGGCCGCGGGACCCCGCCCGGCGACAGCCGCGGCGGCGGGACCCGCGGCCGCCCGCUCUAGGGAAGUCGGUCGGCGGAGGACCGCACUUCUCUCUUAGUAGGACGUCGCGACCCGUUGGGCGCCGGCCUAAGGACCGGGAAAAAGCCCGAGUCGGGGCGGGCGGCGGUACCCCCGCCGUUCACCCGACCGGACUCCCGGACUCCCGGCCGCGCUCCCGACGGUAUAAAACGACGGUGUCGAACCGCUCACCCCGUGUGAGCGUCCCCGGUCGGGCGCAAGCCGGCGGGCGGCGUGUCGCGGCGGACUCAGGUCCGGCCGACCCCGCCCCCGACUGUUGGCGCCGCUGGCUGUGCGGACGGCGUUCACAACACCGGUCGGCGGCGCUUAUGUUUCGGUCACUUGUCCGACCCGUCUUGAAACACGGACCAAGGAGUCUAACAUGUGCGCGAGUCAUUGGGUCGUUCGAAACCCAAAGGCGGAAUCAAAGUGAAGGGUAACCCCUUUCGCUUACCUCAGGGAGGAUGGGCGCGUCCUGCCCUAGCGGCGGUGCCCCGCACUCCCGGGGCGUUUCUCACUCAUCGCGAGUCGAGGCGCACCCAGAGCGUACACGUUAGGACCCGAAAGAUGGUGAACUAUGCCCGGCCAGGACGAAGCCAGGGGAAACCCUGGUGGAGGUCCGUAGCGAUUCUGACGUGCAAAUCGAUCGUCGGAGCUGGGUAUAGGGGCGAAAGACUAAUCGAACCAUCUAGUAGCUGGUUCCUUCCGAAGUUUCCCUCAGGAUAGCUGGUGCCCGGGUGAGACGAGUCUCAUCCUGUAAAGCGAAUGAUUAGAGGCAUUGGGGGUCGAAACGACCUCAACCUAUUCUCAAACUUUAAAUAGAUGAGAACUCCGGCUUGCUUGGAAUUGACGGUUGAAGCCGGAGACUCGGAUCAGGGUGCCCAGUGGGCCAAUUUUGGUAAGCAGAACUGGCGCUGUGGGAUGAACCAAACGCCGAGUUAAGGCGCCCGAAUCGACGCUCAUCGGAACCCAUGAAAGGCGUUGGUCGCUUAAGACAGCAGGACGGUGGCCAUGGAAGUCGGAAUCCGCUAAGGAGUGUGUAACAACUCACCUGCCGAAGCGACUAGCCCUGAAAAUGGAUGGCGCUGUAGCGUCGUGCCUAUACUCGGCCGUCAACGGCCGACCGGGCGGCCCGCUCCCGAGCGGGACGCGCCGUUACGCCUUGACGAGUAGGAAGGCCGCGGCGAUGAGCGCUGAAGGGUCUGGGCGAGAGCCCGCCUGGAGCCGUCGCCGGCGCAGAUCUUGGUGGUAGUAGCAAAUACUCCAGCGAGGCCCUGGAGGACUGAUGUGGAGAAGGGUUUCUUGUGAACAGCUGUUGCACAAGAGUCAGUCGAUCCUAAGCCCUAGGAGAAAUCCGAUGUUGAUGGGUCGCCGUUAACGCUGAUGGCCAGCCGCGAGGACGACCGCUCACCCGUCGAGAGGCGGUGGCCGAAGGAAGUCGACUCUAGUCAGCGCGCCGCGGUCGUCGGGCGUCUGUCUCCGCGCGUGCCGCGCUGCCGUAUUUUCGGCGAGCGCGCCGCGGAGCCGGGCGACCCGUUCGACCCGCUGUCGCCGCGCGACUAAGUCACUCCUGCAAUCACCGCCUCUCCGGAGGUCGUCCCCUGCGCGCCGUUAAAACCGUGUCGGCGCCCGUCGGGCGAAAGGGAAUCCGGUUCCUAUUCCGGAACCCGGCAGCGGAACCGUUCCGAAUCGGGCCCUCGUACGAGUGCUCGUCGGGGUGACCCAAAAAGACCCGGAGACGCCGCCGGGAGAUCCCGGGGAGAGUUGUCUCUUCUCUAUAGCGUUCGAGUUCCCUGGAAACCUCUAGCAGGGAGAUAGGGUUUGGAACGCAAAGAGCACCGCAGUUACGGCGGUGUCCGGAUCUUCCCCGCGGACCUUGAAAAUCCGGGAGAGGGCCACGAGGAACACCGCGCCGGCUCGUACCCAUAUCCGCAGCAGGUCUCCAAGGUGAAUAGCCUCUAGUCGGUAGAAUAAUGUAGGUAAGGGAAGUCGGCAAAUUGGAUCCGUAACUUCGGGAUAAGGAUUGGCUCUGGGGAUCGUGGCGAGCCGGGCUUGGUCGGGAAGUGGAGCCGCGUCAACGAGCCGGGCCUGGGCGAGGUGAGCGGCGCCUCGUGCGCCUGGAUCCGAGCUCGGUCCCGUGCCUUGGCCACCCACGGAUCUUCCUUGCUGCGAGCCGUCGGCCGUCCUGUCGCCGCCGUCUCCGACGGCCGGCCGACGGGCCGGCGGUCUCUUCGGCCGCCAUUCAACGAUCGACUCAGAACUGGCACGAUCUAGGGGAAUCCGACUGUCUAAUUAAAACAAAGCAUUGCGAUGGCCCCCGCGGGGUUCUGACGCAAUGUGAUUUCUGCCCAGUGCUCUGAAUGUCAACGUG
rnacentral:rRNA from 1 species